CAUAGCGACUAUCGUGGCAUAUCAAUAAGCGGAGGAAAAGAAACUAACAAGGAUUCCCUUAGUAACGGCGAGUGAAGCGGGAAGAGCUCAAAUUUGAAAUCUUCAAGGUUCUACCUUGACGAAUUGUAGUUUAUAGAAGUGUUUUCUGUUAGUGGAGUGGCAAAAGUUCUUUGGAAUAGGACAUCAUAGAGGGUGAGAAUCCCGUAUUUGGUCAUUCCUCCUAGCGUUGUGAUACACUUUCAACGAGUCGGAUUGUUUGGGAAUGCAGUCCAAAAUGGGUGGUAAAUUUCAUCUAAAGCUAAAUAUUGGCGAGAGACCGAUAGCGAACAAGUACCGUGAGGGAAAGAUGAGAAGAACUUUGAAAAGAGAGUUAAACAGUACGUGAAAUUGUCAAAAGGGAAGCGUUUGACACCAGUGUUGUUUUUCCGAAAAUCAAUUACGAAUGUUUUAUUUUUGAGGAGUCUAUGACUUCAUCGGCUUGCUCCUUUCUUUAUCGAAACUUUCUUAAUGCACUUUUCGGUUAACAAGUCAACAUCAAUUUCUUUUGUUGUAAAAGGGUAUGAGGAAGGUGGCUUUCUUUUCGGAGAAAGUGUUUAUAGCCUUGUGCCUCUGCAAUCGGAGAGAUUGAGGUCUGCAGCGUAGAUCCUUCGGGGUUAGAUACGUUUGUGCUAAGUUAUAGCUUUUCAUAGACAACUUGUUGACUAUGUUUUAGUCUUGUAGCUUACUCGCUUGACGCUAUUUUACCUACGCUUAGGAUGUUGAUAUGCAUGACUGAUAU
rnacentral:rRNA from 1 species